GCGGAGGAAAAGAAAAUAACAAUGAUUCCCCUAGUAACGGCGAGUGAAGAGGGAAAAGCUCAAAGUUGGAACCUGGUGGGCAUAGCUCACCCGGAUUGUAAACUAAAGUUUUUGAGUCGUUUAGUCAGCCAGGUAAAUAAGUCCUCUGGAAAGGGGCGACAUAGAGGGUGAAAUCCCCGUCUUUGGCCUGAGUUUUGAUUAGGCGUUUGGCUUGGAAACGAAGAGUCAGGUUGUUUGGGAAUGCAGCCUAAAAUGGGAGGUAAAUCUCUCCUAAAGCUAAAUAUUGACGAAAGACCGAUAGCGAACAAGUACCGUGAGGGAAAGAUGAAAAGCACUUUGAAAAGAGGGUCAAAAAGUACGUGAAAUUGCUGAAAGGGAACCGUAUGAAAUCAGACUUACUGGUAGGUAAUCAAUCUUUCCCUUGGGAAGGAUGCACUUGCCUGCUAUGUACGCCAGCGACAUUUUGGUUGUGGAGGAAAAAAAUAGUUGGAAUGUAGCCUGGGUUUCGGCUUAGGUGUUAUAGACUACUAUAAAAUACUCUCGGCUAGAAUGAGGAACGCAGCAAACCGUAAGGCGAAGAUUUUAGGCGCUUGGGGGGAAUCAUUAGAGAAUUUCUGCUUCGGGUGGUGCUUUAGUGAUUUCGUUCAACUCGUUUGAAUUUCUUUUUAUUUGCUUAGGUUGUUGGCUUAAUGAUUUUAUAUGAC
rnacentral:rRNA from 1 species